UAGGGAAUCUUCGGCAAUGGACGGAAGUCUGACCGAGCAACGCCGCGUGAGUGAAGAAGGUUUUCGGAUCGUAAAGCUCUGUUGUAAGAGAAGAACGAGUGUGAGAGUGGAAAGUUCACACUGUGACGGUAUCUUACCAGAAAGGGACGGCUAACUACGUGCCAGCAGCCGCGGUAAUACGUAGGUCCCGAGCGUUGUCCGGAUUUAUUGGGCGUAAAGCGAGCGCAGGCGGUUAGAUAAGUCUGAAGUU
rnacentral:rRNA from 1 species